UACGUAGGAUGCAAGCGUUGUCCGGAAUUAUUGGGCGUAAAGAGCUCGUAGGCGGUUUGUCGCGUCGACUGUGAAAACCUACAGCUUAACUGUGGGCUUGCAGUCGAUACGGGCAGACUUGAGUUCGGUAGGGGAGACUGGAAUUCCUGGUGUAGCGGUGAAAUGCGCAGAUAUCAGGAGGAACACCGGUGGCGAAGGCGGGUCUCUGGGCCGAUACUGACGCUGAGGAGCGAAAGCGUGGGGAGCGAACAGG
rnacentral:rRNA from 1 species